UUGAAGAUGGGCCUGGCUCUGUCCCUCCCUUCUCAUCUCUUGACGUGGGUAGAGCGCCCCCUUGGGGUGAGGGACAGGUGUGACGGUGCAGGAAUGGGGCUGAGGAAGCUCUGGGCACGGCAGGAGGGUUCCAGGAUCCAGGAGGGGAGGCAGGGGCCUGGCCAGCCAGUCAGGGGCGGAGCCUGACAGGGAGUGCCUAGUCCGGAAGGGAGGGCAAAGGGCUAUGUUGUCUGCCUGCCCCACCCCACUGACAAGAGUCCCAGUCACCAGGCCACCCUCUCUGUCCGGGGCCCUAGAGGGGCCCAGCAUCCCAAGUGGCUGGAGCACUGGGGGACGCCCAGACAGAGCCCUCGCUGGACCAAGUCCUCCAGGAGCGGGAUGAAGCCAUUGCCAAGAAGCAAGCAUUGGAGGCCGAGCUGGACACAUGCAAAGCCAAGUUGCGUGCUGUGGAGGCCCAGCUACUGGAGGUCCUGGAGGAGAAACUGAGGCUGAGGCAGGAGGUGGAGGCCUGGGAGGAGGACAUGCAGCAGCUGGUGAGGCAGCGGGUCGAGAGGCAGCUGCAGAGAGAGGCCAGGGGCUCUCUGGGCGCCCCCGUGGACCCCCGAACAGCCAGGGCCCCCUGGGUCCGAUUCCCCCUGGGUCGGUGGGGACGCUGGUGGUGACAGAGCUCAGCCCAGGACCUUGGGAGCAGUGUCUUUAUUCAUUAAAGC